AAUAUGGAAAAGAAUUAUUAUUAGAUGGAAGAAUUUAUUUGAUCAUCAUGAUUAUGGUUAAAUUAUUUUAGUGAUCAAUGAUAUAAUCUAAUAUAUAUAUAUAUUUCCAUAUUACAAUUUUGAUAUUUUCGGUAUCAUAAUAAACAAUGUAUCAAGAGAGUGGCUGGUAUAGAUAUAAAUUUUCGCCACAUCACUGUUUUCUGGAAUAUGAGAUUUUAUAUUAAAUCUGAGCCAUUUGUUAUUAGCGAUCGGUCGCUCUCCCAUAACAACAAUCAUCGAAUUGGAUGGAUCCACGAACCAAUAUAUUUCCUCCUCCUUAAAAUUAAAAUCAUCAGAAUCUACCACUAAAGAAUAGUCCUCUGAGUGCUCUAUCCAAUCCGAUGUGGGUUCAAAAUCCUCAUAAACUCUCGUUAGCUUUUUGUUGCUGAUCAGAACAUCCACUUGCCUUUCGUCAGCCAUGCACCUCAAGUGAAACUGUAAAUCUAACAUAGAACAACGAUAGAAAGGUUGGCCCAAAUCUAUUUCUUUGUUGCAAAUAUCACACUGAUGCUUGCUUCCAGGCUUAUCAUCACUUGAAGAAUUGAAUAUGAGGAAGAAACGAUGCCCACUAUUUUUCGUCUUAAUGAUGAGAUCAGGUAAAACGCAAUUGACAUGAACAUCAUAGAAGCAGUCAUAGCAUUUGUAGCUGACAGAGCUGCCAAGUUUAUCACAAAUGCAACAUUUAUACUGAUAAUUAUACUUGAAUGGCAUGAUAAUGAAAUUUAGGAAAUGUGGGUGUUGUUUAGGAUGAAGAAUUGUUGGUAAGAAUCCAUGGUUGAGAUGGGUUUGGAGGAGGCAAUCACAACAAUCAUCUAAGAAUUCUUCACAAUUACCGCAUUUAUGUGUUCGUCGGAAGUCAUGUCGAUCAGGGUUUACUGUUGUCAAGAAAGGAGGGCAUUUGUCCAAGUUUGGGGCAGACUCUGCACAGAAUUUGUGAAGGUUGAAGUCAUCACAGUCAACACAUUGAUAGGAAGGGCCAGAAAGGAGCUUUGAGCAACUCUUGCAAACAAGUUCAUCUUUGCUUGCUUUCUCGGACACGGCUAAUGCAUGCAAGUGGUCAAUUAUUGGUUGUCUGACUUUCUUUUUGUUUUUGCCACAGCUCUCGAUCACUUUCAAAGCAUCAUCUCUUUCCUUGUCAGAAAGCAAAACCAACAUAUCGGAUACGAGUUUCUUCACAUCAAAUGACUUUAUGUCGACUUGAAGCUUGGGAAUCCUUCGAUCUUCAUAUUCAUUGUCCUUCUUAUCCUUGGUUGUACAUUCGAUGAUGACAAAU
rnacentral:misc_RNA from 1 species